GCAGGCAAAGGGCACGGGGAGGAGGAAGAUUGUAAGGGCCCUGCAGAAAAGAGAAUGCUGGGCACGAGUAGAUAACGUUCUGGAAGCAUGGUCAGGCUGAAGGUCGUGGGCACUCUGGGAGGGAAACCACGAGUGGGUAUUUCCUUGUUUUACUGUUUCUUUUGCAGUGACAGCUGCUCCAGAUAGGACAUCCUGGUUUUCUUGCCCCUUCUGCAAUGAUGUGAGAAUAGCAAAGUGGCUAUUUGUGAAAGCAAGCAGCUUCGGUGUGGCAUGUGGAGUCCAUGGAGAGGAGUUCUGUGGAGAAGGUACAGAGGAAUACCGGAGCAAAGCCCUUUGUGGAUGCCAUCCACAGCAGGAGGUCUGCAUCCUUCCAGACCAGGCUGAUGGCAUCCCGAGCCUCCGUUGCUGCAGCAAGUGGUACCUGGAAAGGCAGCUCUUCCAGAGGAGGUCUGGGUGAGUCAUUAGAAUGUUAAUUAGCAGGAACAUCGAGUGUAGUUCUGCUAGCUGGCUGCAGCCCAGUGCAGGUUGACUUGUGCUGGUGCUGCUGAAGUCGGUAGGUUUAUGGUGUGAAUGAGUGUGAGGCAACUGCAAGAUGUCUCAGCACAAAGCAAACCCCUUUGAGUGCAUCAAAGUGGGCUGAGGAAAUCCUGUCUGUCAUUCUAACAAGAAAGCAGCAGCUGGACAUUGCCUUGCUGUAACAACACAGCUCGACGAGUGCCAGAGCCUUGUGGCUUUCUGCCUUGCUGGAGCACACAGGCAGGCUGCUGCAAGGAGCUCAAGAGCAAGCCUACAAGGAGGAGCUUUUGUCUUCCGCCCCCCUCCUGUAGCUGUGGUUGUCUUUAGAGCAUCCCGGAGGCAGAACUGUGGAUUCCUUGUUCGUGAGCACAGCCUGCCGGCUCCAGCUGCAACUGGCACCCGAGAGCCCUGGCGGCAGUUAGUGUUGGAGGCUGGGAGCGCUUUGGUUUGGGUUCUCCCCUCGGGAACGGACACGUCCACCGAGGAACAGGACCUGGGGGUCUGGGCUGAUGCAAAGCUCAACAGGAGCCUGCAGGGUGAGUG